GGCUCUUUGGAUUUAUUAUAUAGAGAGUCAAACCUGCCCAGUGAUUUUUUUAACGGCCGCGGUACUCUGACCGUGCGAAGGUAGCAUAAUCAUUUGCCCUAUAAUUGAGGGCUUGUAUGAAUGGUUUCACAAGAGCAUAACUGUCUCCUUAAAAUUUUAUAAAAUUUGGUUUUUAGGUGAAGAAACCUAAAUAGAAUUGAAAGACAAGAAGACCCUAUCGAGCUUUAAAACAUUUAGCUAAAACAAAAUAAAUUAAUUUUUAGCUAUAAAUUUUGGUUGGGGCGACUAAGGAACAAAUAAAGCUUCCUUAAUUGAAAAAUACUGAUAAGUAAUGAUCUAAAAGAUUUGAUUAAGAAAAUUAGUUACCGUAGGGAUAACAGCAUAAUUUUUUUUGAGAGUUCUUAUCGAAAAAAAAGUUUGUGACCUCGAUGUUGGACUAGGAUAUCCUAAAAGAUGCAGAAGUCUUUAAGGGUUAGUCUGUUCGACUAUUAAAAUCCU
rnacentral:rRNA from 1 species